UNUGGUCUGUCACUGACGCUGAGGCUCGAAAGCGUGGGUAGCGAACAGGAUUAGAUACCCUGGUAGUNCACGCCGUAAACGAUGAGUGCUAGGUGUUAGGCCCUUUCCGGGGCUUAGUGCCGGAGCUAACGCAAUAAGCACUCCGCCUGGGGAGUACGACCGCAAGGUUGAAACUCAAAGGAAUUGACGGGGGCCCGCACAAGCGGUGGAGCAUGUGGUUUAAUUCGAAGCAACGCGAAGAACCUUACCAGGUCUUGACAUCCCGAUGCUAUUCUUAGAGAUAGGAAGUUACUUCGGUACAUCGGAGACAGGUGGUGCAUGGUUGUCGUCAGCUCGUGUCGUGAGAUGUUGGGUUAAGUCCCGCAACGAGCGCAACCCUUAUUGUUAGUUGCCAUCAUUAAGUUGGGCACUCUAGCGAGACUGCCGGUAAUAAACCGGAGGAAGGUGGGGAUGACGUCAAAUCAUCAUGCCCCUUAUGACCUGGGCUACACACGUGCUACAAUGGUCGGUACAACGAGUUGCGAGCCGGUGACGGCAAGCUAAUCUCUGAAAGCCGAUCUCAGUUCGGAUUGGAGGCUGCAACUCGCCUCCAUGAAGUCGGAAUCGCUAGUAAUCGCGGAUCAGCACGCCGCGGUGAAUACGUUCCCGGGCCUUGUACACACCGCCCGUCACACCACGAGAGUUUGUAACACCCGAAGUCGGUGAGGUANCCUUUUAGGG
rnacentral:rRNA from 1 species